UGGGAGCGGCGCGGCAUGGCGGAGCCAGCGCCCCGGCAGCCCCGGGGCAUGGCGGGAGGGGGCGCCAUGGCGGGCGGCGACGGGGGCAGGCCCUGAGGGGAGCCCGCUAGAACCAAGCCGAGGGUGGUGGCUGUGAAGUAAAGGAACUAAACAUAAACUAAGUAUAUAAUUUGUGCAGAAAUGCCACCGGAAGGCUGUAUGUGAAAAACAAAGAAAAGUAGGGAAUGGUCCCUCGUGAACUAUAAAAUCCUGUGAUUUACUUUGCAAAGCUGAUGAUGUACCACGGGCCAGACUCCUGGGUGAAACCCAAGCCUUGCCAAAAUCUGUGGGCUCAUACCAAGCACAGAUUGGACCUCGACUGCAUGUGGGGAUCUGGAUGAGUAAGAGGAGCUGAGUGAUCUUCUGAACGAAAACCAAUAGCAGUUUUUCAUCCGGGUGAACCGCAGGAGUGAAAGAGUUCAACAGAGCUGCCUGCUGGGAGCUUCCGAAGUGGCAUUUUGCACGCCCAAAGGCUCAGGGAGGACAGAGCUGCAGCAGGUAAGGACCCAGGGCUGGGUUCCUGAAAGCGUUGAUCCCUGAAGCUAUGAGACACCAACAGAUUGUGCCUUUGUCUCACGUUCAAUUAUCACAGAGUCACUGAGGUUGGAAGAGACCUCCAAGAUCAUCUGGUCCAAUCGUUCCCCUACCACCAGUGUCACACACUAACAUGUCCCUAAUCACCUCUCCUUGAACGCCCCCAGGGACAGUGACGCCACCACCUCCCUGCGUAACCUGUGCCAGUGCCUGCCUGCUCUUUCUGAGGAGAAACAUCUCCUAAUUUCCAACCUAAACCUCCCAUUUGUGUGCGUGUGUGCUGACUGUGUGCAGUGCCUUCAUCCUCAGCACUCAGUUAGCUGUUAUCCAGUGUGGGCAAGGGAGAACACCUCACAUUUACACCCAUUUCCCCCCAAAAUCACAAAUAUCGUGUGCUGUGGCCCCAAAAUCUCUGGCUAAGCAGGAGAAGCAGCCCUUCAGGGACCCAUUUUUGCGUGAGGAGGAGCUGCCCUCCCGCGCCCUGAGGCACUGACAGG